ACACAAUUUAUAUAGCAUAUAUCAAUUGUCAUUAAUGGCAGUGAACACGUAAUAAAAAUAUUCAUUGGUAACAAACAUUUGUACCUGUGAUGAUGAGCAGCACGGUCCAAAAUGAAAGCAAGAAUCAAAGAAAUAACUGAAUGAACACCUACAUUAAUCAUCAUUCCAAAAAACAGAUAUCAAUAUGAAUGCUACACUCAAACUCUGAAGAAGAAUAAAGGAUAAUAUGGCGGAAAGGAUACAGUGUUGUUUGCACCCAAACUCUUACUAAUGUGGCUAGCAUAAUUUAUGGAAAAAUCAUUUAUGGAAAAAUCCACAAAUAGAGCAACAUAAUUUCAGGAUCACUGCAAGCAUUCAUUAGUUUCAGUCACACAAUAGUCAUGUUAAUUGAAUAUAAUCCUUAUUCUGAUAUCCAACUAUCUUCAUUAAAUCUUCAUUCGCACAAAAAAAUGUCACAUGUUCACGUUCACAAUACCAAAAAACCAUGAUAAACAUAUUUUAAAAAGAAUUUAGAUCUCAAUCUUACAACAUAUUUUAGGCAAGUGUUUGGUAUAUAUUUUAGACUAGUCAAUAAUCUACUUUGAACAAAUUGCGGUCCAUUUUAGACAUACAAUUAGUUAGCUCACUCCAAAUUUGUCAUCCAGGUUCAUUUUGGACCAAUCAACACUCAUAAUGAAAGAUAGUUUACAUUCUCUUAUUGGUUUUCAUUAUGGUCAUUGAUAUAUAAUAAUAUCCAAAGGAUUAGAAAUGUUUCAAGUUGUUAAACAUAUAUAAUUUUGUUUAACCUGAGGGAUUGACGCUAUAAGUUCUCAAUUAAUGUAUUGAUAUGGAAGAAUAAUUUAUUUAACAAAAAAAUGAUGUUUUUUUCCUAUGUAAAAUCUCUUGAAUAAGUUAUAAUCAUGUAUGAUGAAUGGAUAUUAGUCUCUGUCAUGAAGGAAGAUUAGUCUCAAUGUAGUGAAGUAAGAGACAUUAUUUCUUAGUAUCCUAUCCCCAAAUAAAAAACAAAAUUUUAUUUAUUUUCAGCCAAUAUGACAAAUUACAACCAAACCAACCAUGAUUAGCAUAAGCAUAGGAAGGGCAUAACAAUCAUUUCCCGAAGGCACCAACGAGAGUCCGUGCUGACUCUUACAAUAUAUGAAGAAACAAAAAGAAAAGAAAAAUAGCACUAGUUGGCGCAAAACCAUGGGAGUCCAAGUAUGUAGGGGAAAGAAAAAUAUGCAGCUACACAUAAUCCAAGUUCUUGACAACAGUAGUGCUAAUUAAAAAGUAUUUUACGUAUUAUCCAAAUUUUUAAAUAUAAUAAAAUUUUAAAAAUAUUUAAAAAUUAAAAGAACACCACACUUAAUUAAUAUAAAAUAUUAAAAUAUAUUGAAGUUUUAAAAAAACGAAAUUAAUUUAAAUUUAAAAUAAAAAUUAAAAAUUAUGUGUCAUUUAUUUAUAAAGAGAGUGGGCCUUUUUUAAAACAACAUGCAUUAGUUUUAUUUGUAAAAAUAAAUUUAAAAGAUAUCAAUUUUAGAAUGAAAAACAAUCGAGAUUUGAAGAGAAUAAGAAAACUUAACGUAAAUAUAUAAUUAGAAUUAAUUAAUUUAAGACUAUAAAUAACUAGUAUUAUAAGAAAAGUUAAAAUAAAAACGGAAUUAGUUAAAUUAUCAUUGGAGUAUUUUUAAUAAUAAAACCACGUAUUAAAAAAUAAGACAUUACAAAAAAUUAUCUUACUCUAAAUAGUUAAACUAUUGUUUGGGUGGAACUAUUAUUAUACAUAAUAUCUCUUUCUCAAGAUUAGAGAGGUAUGUUUUAAUUAAUAAAAUGGACCCCUGGUACGGGCUGAUUGACAUAUUGGAGGAACAUAGACCAUGUAGAGCUUUAUGCAUAGAUGGUUUUAAUGCCUCAGUUCAAAGUUUUAUAUCAUUACCAAUCAAGGAUUUCUUUCAAAAAGCAUAGUAUCUUCAUUUGAAAAACCCAUAAAUUCAUGUGAUUCAUGUCAUAUGGGAGUCAAAAUUAAUGGGCAAUUUGUAGCAGACUAUGAUGCAUGCAUGUAGCCCAUGGAUUAUGGAUAGCAACGAGCAACUAGUAUUUUCCGAAACAGGGGAAAGAAAAAUAUGCAGAUACACAGUGUCCCUUUUAAUCACUUUUAUACUUGGACUUUCAUUUCUUUCAAGUGAUAUAAAAAUUAAAAUGACUUUUUCUGAUAGCUUAAAUUCUACUAUUAAUUCGAAUAGUUAUUUUCAUAAACAUUUAUAAUUGAAGAAUAUAAGAAAAAAUGAAAUAUUUUUUUGUUAAAAUUAACUUACGUAUAAAUUAAAAAAUAUUUGUUAGAGAAUGUAAUUAAUAUUAAAAGGUUUUUAACUUAUUUCAUUCAUUAAUUUUUCUCUUAUAAAAAAAUUAAUCUAAACAUAGUCUUAAUUUGAGAAGACUUACGAGGACUGGUUCAACUUGGCCGACUCAGGUUUUGCUACUUCGCUUCAUUUCAUUCUCCAUUUCCUGGAAAUGAUGCAACCAAAUUCUUUGCUCUCUCCAACUUAUCUCGCUCUCAACUCAAGCAGGUAUAUAUUCCUUUUAUGCCAUUCUCUUAUUUCAUUCAUCAAGAAAAUCACAUUUUCAGCAUUUCAGCAAUUCAGCAUUUCAACAAAAAAGAAUAACACAUUUUCUUUUGAAAAGCAAGAAAAUUAAAAAGCAAUAAAAUGAACUAUGAUAGGUUUAGGUUUUGGGCUUACCUUGAGAAAAUGCAGAAAUUGGUGCCAGCAAUUGCAAGAAAGGGGGUUUAGGGUUUAUAUGACCUUAAUGACAAAUGC
rnacentral:lncRNA from 1 species